rnacentral:rRNA from 1 species
CCUACGGGAGGCUGCAGUGGGGGAUAUUGCACAAUGGGGGGAACCCUGAUGCAGCGACGCCGCGUGGGUGAAGGAGCGUUUCGGCGCGUAAAGCCCUAUCGGCAGGGAAGAAGGAGGACGGUACCUGACGAAGAAGCCCCGGCUAACGACGUGCCAGUAGCCGCGGUAAUACGUAGGGGGCAAGCGUUAUCCGGAUUUACUGGGUGUAAAGGGGGCGCAGACGGCAGCGCAAGCCAGGAGUGAAAGCCCGGGGCCCAACCCCGGGACUGCUCUUGGAAGUGCGCGGCUUGAGUGCAGGAGGGGCAGGCGGAAUUCCUGGUGUAGCGGUGAAAUGCGUAGAUAUCAGGCGGAACACCGGUGGCGAAGGCGGCCUGCUGGACUGCGACUGACGUUGAGGCCCGAAAGCGUGGGGAGCAAACAGGAUUAGAUACCCCGGUAGUC